rnacentral:rRNA from 1 species
AACAAACGCUGGCGGCGUGCCUAAUACAUGCAAGUCGAACGGGGAAAGCUUUCGGGUGUGUACUAGUGGCGCACGGGUGAGUAACGCGUGGAUAAUCUGCCUUAGAGUGGGGGAUAACUAGUCGAAAGAUAGCUAAUACUCCAUAAGACCACAGGAUCUGCGGAUCUAGGGGUCAAAGGUUUUUCGCUUUAAGAUAAGCCCGCGUAAGAUUAGCUAGUUGGUGAGGUAAUGGCUCACCAAGGCGACGAUCUUUAGCUGGUCUGAGAGGAUGAUCAGCCACACUGGAACUGAGACACGGUCCAGACUCCUACGGGAGGCAGCAGUAGGGAAUAUUGCACAAUGGAGGAAACUCUGAUGCAGCGACGCCGCGUGAGUGAUGAAGGACUUCGGUUCGUAAAGCUCUGUCGUAUGGGAAUAAGAAAGUGAAUGUACCAUGCAAGAAAGGAUCGGCUAACUUCGUGCCAGCAGCCGCCGUAACAC